CUGCAACUCUGGACUUCAAACCGGCUCCAGUGCAAACCAACAGGCAGCCAGAUUUCAAUUAUUUCAUCAUCCACUCCGACCACCUCCCCUACGACUCCAGUGAGCUGUUGCCUGUGAACAGAUCGAGGCAGUAAUUGCAUCCCAACAUAACUAGGAAAACUAUUUUGUAAUAUAUAUAAAAGGUGAUGGAGACGUCUUAAUGGGAGGAGACAAACUGGGUCCAAACCAGUUUCAUGACAGGCAGAUGGAUUCUUCUCAGAGGAUGGCGAGAACGGCAGCAUUUGAAAAGAUGUCCUGUAAUCGGUUUGGAAGAUUGGAUGUAUAUAUGAGAAAAUGGUUUAGUGCCUUAAUCUAUGCUUUGAGAAAAAUACGUAUUUGUUUUGUACUUCCUUGUUUUUUCACCGGUUUGUUUGUUUUAUUCUGAAUAUCUGUGUCUAAUGUACAUGAUGGAGGGUAUAUACGUUGACAACCGAGGCCAUCUGUGUAUGUGGUGAUGAUGAGCUGUGGGGUUUACGGUGUGGGGGGGGGGAUAUUUUAUGAUGCACAUUAUUUUCUAUUUUGUUUCAGAAAUAAUAAAAAAUGUUAAUCAGUAAAAAAAGGUAAUUUAUGACCCUCCGCUGAGAUAAUGAUCAUUAGUUUGAUCAUGCAUGCUUGUGUCAUAAAUUACAAAGUCAAACAGUACAUAUUCAUAACCAUCCGUUACUCAGGAGCUCAGAAAACACUGUUUCCAUGACGACAACUCAAACACACACACACACACACACACACACACACUCCUUUGUCUCUCUGUUUGUGUUUUUUUACAGUUUAGUCCCUGCUGCUCUGUGAUGAUCCUGCUGCUAAAAUCUCUUUCUUAUCCGACUUUAGUUAAAUGUUAAACAUAAUAUCACUGUGAUGACACGCUGACCUUUUGCAUGUGACAAACAGACAUACGGCUUAUGUUUGGAAACAUUUUGCAGUUUUGCUCAAGCUCAAAAUGACAGAAAUGAUGUUUUCUGACCAAAGCAACAAUUAGAAACUGAGCAGAUUUUUGUAACUUUUUUUUGACCUAAUUUUAUUGCAAAAGCUUUACUGGGUGAAGAACCAGCAGAAUGAUUAGUCCAGUAGCUGUAACUCUAGAUCAGAGAAAACUCUCCUCAUGGUCCCAAACACUCUGACAGAGCUGGAUAAAUCUGCCUUUUCCUUUCACGCCCUGCACACUUGGAAUGAGCUGCGAGGCAUAUUCAACGUGCAAUCUUUACCCUCUCCUGACUCUCUUUAAAAAUAUAUUAAAAUCAGUUUUUACAGAACAGUGUUAUUGCUUUUAACAAGUGCCAUUAUUUGCUAGGAACCUGAUCCCUUUUGUUAUUUGUCCUCAUAUAUACUUCUAUAUGAAACCUUUUUAUUGUUUUUUCUGCUGCCAUCUUAAAUAAGACUCCCUGGCAGAAGAGAUAUUGUAUCUCAAAGGGAUAUUUCUGGCUAAAUAAAAGGAUAAAUAAAUAAAUAAACCUGACGGCAGCUUGAAAAGGCACCGAAAGCACUGAUUUAUGUGUCAAAAUUCCUUUAUGC